CUCAUUCGCAGCAGAAAAAGCAAACGGAGGAAAUGGGAAUUUCACUCCGAGGAGAAAUGCCACGGUGCCCUCACUCGUGAGUUUUGGGGGGCAGAUUUGCCUCCGGGUUUCAGCAGACUAUUCUUCAGCCAUUUUCCAUUCAUCGUUGGGAACAAGAGCUAAAUAACUCCUAGCCUGUUUCAUAACGGAGAAACUAGCCUAAGAGACGAGGCAGGCUGAAAACUCACAUAAGAUCAGUGAUUACAGCUCAACUGACAAAGGAUGGCUUCUAAGGGAUGGAAACGUGUCCUUAGUGCUCAAUGCUGUUGCUCUUAACCAUUGGCAGUGGCUGUUGUACUGUUCCCCUUUCGAUGAGCCACCUUCUUCCUUUUACUGUGACGAGUUGUAGCUGCUGGAGUGGAGCCUUCCUGGUGUUGCACUGUUGCAGAGUCCUUCCAGUACUGCUAAUCCCCUCCGGUAUUAGCAAGGAAAUAUCAGACAACUACUCCAUGGAGAUGUGAAGUGAAACCAUCAUACAAGAACAACAUGGGAACUGCUGAGCAGACUGUAUUUCCAGUUAUCUGAGAACAACUGUACAUCUACAAGUAGCUGAAAAUUGUGAUGCUACUAUGAUUCUGUCACGUCCUUCAGCAGACCGAUUUUGUACGGCCAGACCCUAGUACAGACAGACAGACAGAUUAAAGAACAAACAAAAAAUUUUCUCCCCCUGCAUGCAGAAGGAACUGGACGCAGCUUGAAAGUGAUGGGCAGCGCUGGAAAAAUGGUGAUUGAACUAGGAGGCCAUCUUAAAACAGAUGAGAGAAAGCCUGUUUCUCACACAAUGAGUAGCAAACUUAGGUGAUUCAUUCCUGCAGAAGGCUAUGGGUACAGGUGCUACCAGAUAGUUGAAGAAGCAGUUAGAUAAAUUCAUGAUCAACAGGUCCAUAAAGAGACUCUAAAAAGAAUAAGUAGGGCUGUACUCAAGAAACUCCCUACUCAGCCUGUCCUACCACCAUUGAGAGAGGCAGGAUAUGGGGUGAGGUGGGCCAUUGGUCUUACCCCAGUAGCACAUGUCUGAUAUUCUUAUGAACAACAUCUCCUCCCCAUCCCAUUUGCCCUGCUCGUGACUCCAGAGCCAAACCUACCUAUCACAGUGGUAAAAAAAGAUUCUUUUCUGGCCUUGCAAUAGCCUACAAAGCUGGAGCUAGCCCAUGGGGAAAUGGCUAAUCGGGAUAAUAUCCUUGGCAUAAGGGAUAAUAGAUCUGGAUCUAGGUUAAGGGUACUUAGAUCUACUAGCAUCAUUGUCCAACAGCAGUUAUAGAGAAAGGCUGGUGAUAGCAAAACACAGUCUGGGAACACCUAGCUAUUCCUCAAAACGUGCCGGCAUUUGCAUCUGGAUUCCUCAUUCGCUGCUCCAGGAGAGGAGAGGAGGGACAGACAAUCGGACACACAGCUUGUCUAUUUUUGCUUUCACUAUAUUUGGUGAGGAUUGGAAAUGUAAUGUCUUUUCCAGAGGUCACAGCAUCAAAUAAUUCUCAGUAGUGUUACAAAUAAGGUUUCAGGUCUGUGAGGGAUUUAUGGACAAGAGUGAAAGACCCUCGAAAUUGAUAUCAAUAAUUCUGCUGCCCAAGCUGAAGGCAUAUCUCCAACAGCUGUCAGGGGCUGUGGGUUUUUAUACCCCUUUAGCUGCAAGGAGGCAAGACCAUCAUAAUUAGCUGCUAAUUGAGAAGCCUGCAUCUGAAAAGCACAAUUUCAGAGAACAAAGAGCCAGAGAGACCCAUUUCCAGGGCUAAUUAGAAUUAAUUCAUAGCUAUAAGUAGAAGGGCUCCCACAGUCCUGGGACUCUCUCUUGGCCUCUCCUGAAACACCAGUCUAAACAUGCGCAUACCAAUCAUAGAAGGCUCAGCGUGACUUGUGCGGCUCUUGUGCAAUACAGAAAUAGCACUGCUUGUUAAAAAAGAGUCUGAUUUUCAUUUUUUUGCAGCCCUGGGCUAUGUCUCCCUUCUGCAGCUGCUGGUACCUGCACUCGGGUAUGAAGCCUCCUGCCUUCACUGCCUCUGGGGGUAUCAUGGCGUUUUGUCUGUGUGGGGACUCCAGGACCACAGUCCUCACUCAGGCUUGCAGUGAGCACCCAAGUGGCUUUGCUACCUGCCCUUCCCUCCUUUUGUGAAUGUGUGUACUAAAAAACAAAGGGACAGCUUCUACUACUGCAAGAACAGAGCUUUUAGAGAAAAAAAGGUCUGCAAAACCAGGCCACACUGCCUGUUGCACCCUUGGGAAGAUGGCUCAGGCAGGACUGACUUCGGGCACCUCCAGGAGCUGCUGCAGUCCGUUUGGUUUUCCCCUAACAGGACCACAGCAGCUGUUUUCCUACCCGAACUGGGGCUCCACCAGAGCCCCCAGUAGCCCUUCAGGCAGUGAGGACACAGGCUGCAACUUCCAGUCGUCAUGGGGUCCCUUAAAAUCCUUCAAGAACUGAUUUUAUUCUUUAAGGCCUGAAGUUAAAAAAAAAAACCACACAAAAAAAAAUCUGUACAGUGAACACCUGAGUCACAAGUCAACCUACAAUAUUCACAUUUUAUUUGAGAUCACCAUGUCUAUCAUCUUUGUGUUUAGGCAACGGCUCACCGGUCCCAGCACCUCUCAUUGCUUGAAGACUGAGUCAUUGCAAGUCCAGCAAGUAAAUGACCCAGACUGUUCCCUUAGGACAGCCAACAUUUUCAAAAUGCUUCCUUUUUUGGUUGUCCAAUAUAAGGUGCUUCUAAAAUGAGCUUGACUUUUUUCAGAAGAUGUUGAACUCAUAUCUUUGGAAGACUGCAAUUACUUCGAGUUGCUUCAAGCUAAGGACCCAAAAAAGAGCAAGAUGAUAAUUGAUUUUGAGAAAUGCAGGAUAACACAUUCUCAUUAGUGAUGAUCUUGUUAUAGAGGAGGUGGCCUGCUGAAUUGUGCUGUGCUGGCCUCCCUGUGUAAGGAUGUCUAACAAACCUUAGAAACUUCACAGUUUAAUUGUGAGUGUCGGAAGCUGAUGCUCCUAAAGCUUAAUUUGCAGGAAAGAGGAGUCUGUACUGCUCAGUAGUUGUGAGGUGCCUCAUUUAUGGCUCCAAAUACAGAUGCAUAGCUUUAGAUACCCACAAUUGAAAAAUAUGGUGUGACACCUCUGUGUCACAUGUGCUGGGGCACAUGCAACCACCUCAUUGCUGAGGUGGAGAGACUCUGAGCUCCUUAAGUACUUUUAGAUUUCCUGUUGAAGGAAACUGAUUUUCUAAAAAAAGGUUUUCCAAAGGAUUUUCUGCCCACAGGUACUCAUCUGGACUAUUAAAUUGCAAGAACAAUCUUUCAAUUCUUUUCUGUGUGGCUUAGGCAUGUCCUCUUUUCUGUGCAGUGUAUCCUGUGUGUUAUUACACAGUUCCCAUUUGCUCGUUCUGGUGAAGGACGGUAUCUGCUGCUGUCAUAAAUGGGGCCAACUACCUCACCUUGGCUUCGCAGCCCACUGCUGGGAGGGGAUCCAGCUGCUGUGAUCUGUGCCUGCACUAAGGCUUCAGCUGGAACUGAACCCAGCCAUAACCCCUCUGCUCCUCCUCCCCUGCUUCCAGGGCCCCAAGUCCCCUUCCGCAUAGCAGCUUCAGCUUCAGAGCUGGGACUUCACAUUUCCAUCUGACCCAGAGGACCAGACCUGCCUCCUCAAAAUCCCCCCAUGGCUUAGAGCCAUGCUUUGCU